GACUCGUCACACUAUCAUUAACUGAAUCCAUAGGUUAAUGAGGCGAACCGGGGGAACUGAAACAUCUAAGUACCCCGAGGAAAAGAAAUCAACCGAGAUUCCCCCAGUAGCGGCGAGCGAACGGGGAGGAGCCCAGAGCCUGAAUCAGCAUGUGUGUUAGUGGAAGCGUCUGGAAAGGCGCGCGAUACAGGGUGACAGCCCCGUACACAAAAGCGCAUGUGCUGUGAGCUCGAUGAGUAGGGCGGGACACGUGGUAUCCUGUCUGAAUAUGGGGGGACCAUCCUCCAAGGCUAAAUACUCCUGACUGACC
rnacentral:rRNA from 1 species